rnacentral:tRNA from 1 species
GGCCUGUAGCUCAAUGGUAGAGUGCUUGCCUUUCAUGUGUGAGGUACUGGAUUCAAUCCUCAGCAUCA